ACAACCGGUGACCCAUUUCAUUCCCUUCCCCUGGAAACCCUAAUUGCUUUCCCCCACGUUCACUGUUCCAACAAGUGUACUCUCCUCGCGCGUAACAUUGGUUUACUGAAUCAAGGGCUGUAUUGGCUCAGUGUACAGCAAGUGCAAUAAGGAAUUUUUCGGUGGAAUAAUACCAUUGUGUUUUUUUGUUUGUUUGUUUGGGCUUGCUUCAGAAUCGCGGCUGCACCAGUCUCUUUAGGGAGCUUGAAAUCCGAGGAAAGAACCAUGGCGGACCUGAUGGUUAUGAACGACGUACAGGAAACGGCGGAUCGGCUCGGCAUCGAUCUCGCCAGUGUAAACCUUGACGACAUUCGCCUCCCACCGGGCCAAGAUUUUGGCAUACUAAGUGAUGAUGAAGAUCUACAUCAAGGGGAUAAUGUUGAGUUAGACUCUGGGUUUGGCAAUGUUGUCAUUGUUGACAAUUUGCCUGCUGUGCCUCGGGAGAAGUUUGAAAAGCUAGAAGGUGUUAUUCGUAAAAUCUACAGUCAGAUUGGUCUGAUUAAGGACGAUGGGCUGUGGAUGCCUAUUGAUCCUGAGACCCAGAAAACAAUGGGCUACUGUUUCAUUGAGUUUAAUACUCCUCUGGAAGCUGAGCUCGCUAGGGAGAAGACAAAUGGAUACAAGCUGGACAGGUCUCACAUUUUUGCGUUGAACAUGUUCGAUGACUUUGAUACGUUCAUGAAAGUUCCAGAUGAGUGGGCCCCUCCUGAAUCUAAGCCAUAUACUCCAGGGGAAAAUCUUCAACAAUGGCUGACUGAUGAGAAAGCUCGUGAUCAGUUUGUCAUUCGUGCUGGUUCGGAUACUGAGGUUUUAUGGAAUGAUGCGAGGCAUCUAAAGCCUGAGCCUGUUUAUAAGCGUGCUUUCUGGACUGAAAGUUUUGUGCAGUGGUCUCCACUGGGAACUUACUUGGCGACAGUUCACAGGCAAGGUGCUGCUGUUUGGGGAGGUGACAGUACUUUUAAUCGCCUUAUGCGUUAUGCGCAUGCUCAGGUGAAACUAAUUGAUUUUUCCCCUGGUGAGAGGUAUUUAGUUACCUACAGCAGCCAUGAACCGAGUAAUCCCCGUGAUGCGAAUAGGGUUGUCAUAAAUAUUUAUGAUGUAAGAACUGGAAAGGUUACGAGAGAUUUCAAGGGAAGUGCUGAUGAUUUUGCUAUUGGAGGAACUGGCGGUGUUACAGGGGUGUCGUGGCCUGUCUUCAGAUGGGCUGGUGGAAAAGAGGACAGAUAUUUUGCCAGAAUUGGGAAAAACAUUAUUUCUGUCUAUGAAACAGAGACCUUUUCACUAAUUGACAAGAAAUCCUUGAAGAUUGAAAAUGUUGUGGAUUUCUGUUGGUCACCAACUGAUCCGAUUCUUGCAAUCUUUGUUCCUGAACUGGGGGACCAUCCUGCUAGGGUGAGUCUUAUGCAAAUACCAAGUAAAGAUGAGUUAAGGCAGAAAAACCUUUUCAGUGUUAGUGAUUGCAAAAUGUACUGGCAAAGCAAUGGGGAUUAUCUGGCGGUUAAGGUUGAUCGAUAUACAAAAACUAAAAAAAGCACAUACACAGGCUUUGAGCUUUUCCGCAUAAGAGAAAGGGAUAUUCCUAUUGAGGUUUUUGAGCUUGAGAAUAAAAAUGAUAAGAUCAUUGCCUUCGCUUGGGAGCCAAAAGGCCACAGGUUUGCAGUUAUCCAUGGUGAUAACCCAAGACCUGAUAUAAGUUUUUACUCCAUGCGUUCUGCCAACAAUACAGACAAGGUUAAAAAGCUUACCACUCUGAAAGGAAAGCAGGCAAAUGCCCUUUUCUGGUCACCUGCUGGCCGUUACAUAAUACUUGCAGGAUUAAAGGGUUUCAACGGACAGUUGGAAUUUUACAAUGUUGAUGAACUUGAAACCAUGGCAACAGCUGAGCAUUUUAUGGCGACAGAUAUUGAUUGGGAUCCCACCGGAAGGUAUGUUGCAACCGUAGUGACUUCAGUUCAUGAGAUGGAAAAUGGUUUCAACAUAUGGUCCUUCAAUGGCAAGCUACUUUAUAGGAUUCUGAAGGAUCAUUUCUUUCAGUUUUUGUGGCGCCCAAGGCCGCCACCAUUCUUGAGUCCUGAGAAAGAGGAAGAAAUUGCAAAGAACUUGAAGAAGUACACUAAAAAGUAUGAGGCGGAGGACCAGGACGUCUCAUUGCUAUUGAGCGAGCAGGACCGCGAGAAGCGGAGGAUGCUGAAGGAUGAAUGGGAGAAGUGGAUGAAUGAGUGGAAGCAGCUGCAUGAAGAUGAAAAGCUGGAGAGGCAGAAACUCAGGGAUGGAGAAGUGAGCGAUGAAGAGGAGGAGGAGUACGAGGCUAAAGAAGUCGAAGUUGAGGAGAUACUAGAUGUUACAGAGGAGGUCAUUUCUUUUGAGGAGUAAUAAAUCUUUUGGAGCGUUUAGAUCCUUCUAUUUAAAGCACAAGCAAGACAGCGCUCUUCCAUUUGAAAAGAGAUUUUGAACUGAUAUUUUUGACGUUUGGACAAGCAUUAGAUCCCUGUAUAUAUAUAUUUUUCGUCUUGUGAAGAAAAAUUCCUUCCGCCUAGAUAUCCAUGGAUCUGGAUAUCCGUCCGCCUAGGGUUGGGGCUAGAUAUCUGCCGGUAACCUGUCCGGGUGGAUAGCGGAUAAAAACCGGUCCGCUGAAAAGUCCUGGGCAUGACAUUAUCCUCUUGGCAAAAUGGUCACAAUAAGAUUAUGUCUCAUUAAGGCCCAAGGCUAGCACUCAAUUCCAUUGAAAGAGACGAUAUUGUUCGAGAAAAAACUUUUAUAUCAUACUCUUCCUGGCCGCUUCCCAGUCUCCAAAAUCCUUUUCAUAUUCAUAGAUGUAAAUAUUCAUGCGUGAUUGAUACGGGUUCCUCAUCAAGUCCUUGCAAUGCAAUCACGCAAAUGAGUGAAGCUUGUUUCAGACUAAAAUAUUUGACAUUUUGAUUCUGAUCUUCUAAUCAAAUCUAUACAGUAUUAUUGGCUGA